rnacentral:rRNA from 1 species
CAGUAGCCACGGGAAUACGGAGGGUGCAAGCGUUAAUCGGAAUUACUGGGCGUAAAGCGCACGCAGGCGGUCUGACAAGUCAGAUGUGAAAUCCCCGGGCUUAACCUGGGAACUGCAUUUGAAACUGUCAGGCUGGAGUCUUGUAGAGGGGGGUGGAAUUCCAGGUGUAGCGGUGAAAUGCGUAGAGAUCUGGAGGAAUACCGGUGGUGAAGGCGGCCCCCUGGACAAAGACUGACGCUCAGGUGCGAAAGCGUGGGGAGCAAACAGGAUUAGAUACCCCAGUAGUCCCUGUCUCUUAUAC